GAAACGACUCCAGUCUAGGGAAAGAUUGGAAAGUGGAAGAUUUAUAAUUAUUUUUAGCGAUGAAAAAAAUCAUAUUUGUUUUAUUUUUUGUGGUGGCCUCGGUUUUCGCUAGGCAAGAUUUUUUCGUAGAUGGGGAUUCCAUCGUUAUAAAAGCAGGGGAUGAAUCGUCCCCUCAAAGAAUGAGACGCACUGUUGUAGAAGACACUUCGGCUGAAGGAUAUGACGCCAUCGUUUUGUCCUCGAAAUGUACCACGACCCGCGGAAAGCGGGGGACAUGUCGAAAAAUUGAGGAGUGUUACCCAUUCCUAUUUCCGCUGAAUAAAACGGUGGAACAACACGUGACCACGAUGAACCCCGAGUUGGCCCAUAUUCUUAUCCAGAUUUCUGGAAUUUGCGACAUGGAGACGUCCGGUGCAGAUCGGAUUUCACCACAGAAUUUUAGGCAAGUCCUCACCGCAGAAUUUCUUAUCUGUUGUCCGCAUCGGAACCCAAUUUAUCCCCCAACCCCCGUGGAACCGGGGGACGUGGUGGAAGAAGAGUCGGUCAAGGGAAAACGAACGUGUGGCCAAGUUCAAGUGCAUUUGGGCGAAGAAAAUAAUAACCCGGUAGUUCCUGGCAAUGAAACUGAUCUUGAAGAGGGGGCGACACGUAUCGUGGGGGGAAGAGAGGCAAAAAUGCAUGAAUUUCCGUGGAUUGUGGCUUUGAUGAACAAACGGCGACAAUUUUGCGGAGGUUCGAUCAUCAAUAAUGAAUGGGUCCUUACAGCCGCGCAUUGUAUCCAGCACAUGUCGGCGAGUGAUGUGGCAAAUUUGCAGUUGGUCUUUGGCGACCACGAUAUUUCGAACCCGAACGAUGCCCCCAUUCAGACCAGGAAGGCGUACAUGGUCCUGUACAACAAGCACUUUACGAUGGAUAAAUUGCAAAAUGACAUCGGUCUAAUAAAGCUGUCGAGUCCGGUCGAAUAUGGCAAAACCAUUCAACCCGUCUGCCUCCACAGCGGCGAAAGGAGUUCGAUCGACAAGAAGACUGGCGACAUAGCUGGGUGGGGCCAACUUUGUGAAGGAUGCCAACAACCAAGUAAAUUAAGAACGGCGCAGGUAAACAUUUGGAAGCAUGAGGAUUGUAAAAAGAAAUAUGCGAGCAUCAUCGAAAUUACGGAAGGGAUGGUUUGCUCUGGUGGAAAAGGACAGGAUAGUUGCAGGGGCGAUUCGGGAGGAAGUCUGACAAUAAACUCAAAGACGACGGCUGAGCAAGUUGGACUCGUCUCCUUUGGUGUUGAAUUACAACUUAUGGUUUCUACUGAAAUAAUAAUUUGGCAAGAAAAAAUCAUCCAAAUUUCACAUUUUAGUCCGAGUCGGGGCUUACCUAGCCGUCGUGGUUAUCUGUCUGUCUAUCGAUUACGCUCGUAAAAUUGAUCCAAUCGACUUGAAAUUUAGAGACACGUUACAAAAUUAGAAAUCAAUUUUUACCAAUAAAAAAUCCCUCUUGAAAAAAAAUUGUUGAAAUUUGUAAGAUGAAGACGCCAAAGUAUAUUUCUUAUUUACAAUUUUAAUACAUUCAAUUUCAUCAGAUCGUGUUUCUUCAACCCAGAAUUUGGACAAAAAUUUUUUUUUUUCAAUAAAGCUUAGAAGAUAUGAAAUAUUUUAAAAAAGCUUUCAUAAAUAUGUACAUAUAUUCGUCCUCGGGAAAUUACAAUUUCUAUUUAUACUGAAAUAACGCUUCGGCAGAAAAUGUCCCAAACUUAGGAUUAGUCCGAGUCAUGGCUUAUGUGCCCGUCGUCUGCCUGUCUUCAGAUUAAACUCGUUUUAAAACUUAUAAAAUCGACUUGAAAUUUUGGAGACACUCAAAACAUGCAAAAUUAUGAAGCAAAUUGGAAGUUGAGGAAAAUGUGUAGAAAAAUGAAAAAGCUGUCGAGGUCGUGUUCAGGGUGUGGGCAAACUCCAGGCGUUUAUACGCGUGUCAGUCACUAUAAAGAUUGGAUAAGUCGAAACACUAAAAAAUCCAGUAACAAUAAAAGACCGUAAUGAAUGACUUCUACAUAUUUUUCAUGAUGCCUACCACCACCUGGAAAUUAUUAAAUAAAGAAUAAUUAAUUUGGAUUACACGGAAUUUUUUUAUUUUGCCAAUAUUUGUAAUGCUACGUAUGUGCAAUUCAUUAUAAAAAAAAGUCGAAAAAAUUAUCACAAAGAUUUGUUUGAAGGAGAUAAUAAAGAAUUUUGAUUUAAUUAUUGAAGUUCAA